GCGGAUGUGGCGUAAUUGGCAGCCGCGCUAGACUUAGGAUCUAGUGCCGUAAGGCGUGGGGGUUCGAGUCCCUUCAUCCGCA
rnacentral:tRNA from 1 species